AGGAAGAUGAAACAAGUGCCCGAGUGGCCAUGGCUUUGUUUGAGAGGGAAGGGGAGAAGGGGUUGGUGGGGACCCAUAUACUCUACUUUGAUACCA